AGCUGGCCAGAGGCCAGGCUAAUGAUUGGAAAUAGUUCGCUAAUCAUGUUAGGCACGGCAGCUUCAAGAACCGAGAACUAUUGGCGCAGUUUUGUGCGGAAUGUAUCAAUACUAUCCAAAUGAACAACAAAGGCAAGGGAAGAAAAGUAAGUUCGUUUGGAUUUACUAAAGUAAUCGAUGAGAACAAGAUUCUUAUGGAUGAUCCUUGUUCUGCCACAUUGUAUUUUGGAACUUGUCC